rnacentral:rRNA from 1 species
AGUGGGGAAUAUUGGACAAUGGGCGCAAGCCUGAUCCAGCCAUGCCGCGUGUGUGAAGAAGGCCUUCGGGUUGUAAAGCACUUUUGUUGGGAAAGAAAUCCUGUCGGUUAAUACCCGGCGGGGCUGACGGUACCCAAAGAAUAAGCACCGGCUAACUUCGUGCCAGCAGCCGCGGUAAUACGAAGGGUGCAAGCGUUACUCGGAAUUACUGGGCGUAAAGCGUGCGUAGGUGGUUUGUUAAGUCAGAUGUGAAAGCCCCGGGCUCAACCUGGGAAUUGCAUUUGAUACUGGCAGACUAGAGUGCGGUAGAGGAGAGUGGAAUUCCCGGUGUAGCAGUAAAAUGCGUAGAGAUCGGGAGGAACAUCAGUUGCGAAGGCGGCUCUCUGGACCAGCACUGACACUGAGGCACGAAAGCGUGGGGAGCAAACAGGAUUAGAUACCCUGGUAGUCCACGCCCUAAACGAUGCGAACUGGACGUUGGGUGCAAUUGAGCAUUCAGUGUCGAAGCUAACGCGUUAAGUUCGCCGCCUGGGGAGUACGGUCGC